AUGAGAUUUAGUUGGACCCAGACUCCAAUCGUGGAACUUCCUGCUCCAGCAGUUGUCCACGGUGCAAUUAUCACAUGGUCUGAUGUAUUCCGAUGGAACCUCCAUGUGAAUGUACAAUUCUCAGUGGAGUCUACAUAUAGAGUGUUAAUCCAAUCUGAUGUGCCAGCUGAUAAUAACAAGAAGAUCUGAAAAAUGAAGAUACCUCUUAAGAAUAAAACCUUUGCAUGGUAUCUUUGUCGCGGAGUCAUUCUUACUAAAGAUAAUCUUAUUAAGAGGAACUGUCAUGGAAGUCUGUAAUGUAUCUUUUGUCACCAUGAUGAGACAAUAAAACAUUUAUUCUUCCAAUGCAAAUAUUGGCAUGUCCUAUACAUGGUCAGUCAUUCAAAUAACAUCUCGCUUGUAUCAUCCCUGUAG
rnacentral:rRNA from 1 species